GCCCCGGUGGCACAAUCGGUUAGCGCGCCGUACUUAUAGACAGUACCUUCGCCGUGCGAGUCACGGAUGAGGAAUGCGGAGGUUGUGAGUUCGAACCUCACCCGGGGCA
rfam:Octopus bimaculoides Scaffold70261_contig_152, whole genome shotgun sequence.